UUCAUAUAGCAAUCUGACAUAUUUUUAUCUGAUGAGAGCCUCAUCUUUCAAUAUACCUCAAAGUCAACUUCGAUGUUAGUAUCAGAGAUAAGAGUGGAGGUGCUAAAUUCGUGAUCCAUGGGCUUACAUCCAGAUUUAUGGCAGCAGGGGGCAGCCACCUCUUUGAGCCUACAAUUUCGAAUGCCAAGCUCCAAGUGGCUUGGGCUGAGAUCACCUACGUAUGGUGGAUCUUAUGGACUAAUCAUCUGAUAAUUGAGAGUGACUCAAUGACUAUCGGCGACGGAUUAAAUGGCUGUAUUUAUCGUGGAGCACUCUGCGGUUGUGACGC
rnacentral:lncRNA from 1 species